rnacentral:lncRNA from 1 species
UGUUGACAAGUAUCCUGCAUUUUCCUAUAUUAUAUAUUUUAACAAUUUUUGAUAAAAUUAAAUGAUUCAUGAUCAUUUUUUACUAAUAUUAUAACUAAAGGAUUGCAUAGAGUGUUGAUACAUGUGAUUUAUCAAGACUAUUUCAUAAAAAAUUAUCAAUAACUAUACAUAUUUUCUUAUACUAAUUCUAUUUUAUGUUUUUUCAAUUUUUAAAUAUUUUUAGUGCAAACUUGGUUUGACUGAUUGACCCAGUGGUCAGACCAAUGACCCGAUGACCUGGACCCUUCGCCAAGUCGGUCUCUAGUCUGGAUUUAAUAACUAUGCUAAAUAUAAGACCUUUCGUACUCGACCCUUCAGAUAUGGAAAUGUUUGGAUAUAAUAACAUUUAUGAGUUAUUACUAUAUAAAAAACUUCCUACCAUUUUAAAGUUGUUACUUUGAAACAACAUCAAAUUUUAAAGCUAUUUAUGGAAUUUGUUCAUGAGUUAAAGCUGGCCUUCUAAUUUCAAUGAAUUUUGAGUUUGAUUUUUUUUAUUGACUCAAAUAAGGGUUAGUUUCUUAUAUGCAUGCAAUAUCUUAAGCAAAUGAAGAUCGAAAUGAUAUUUAUAUAAAAAAAUUCGAUUUCAGUCAGUUGCUUGCUAGGUCAUAAGUUGUUUGGCUAUUGAGUCAUACUUUUACUAAAUCCCACCUACCUCCAUAAUCUUCAGAUUAGUCAAAAAAGGGGGGGAGGGAUGCAGGGGGCAUGCUGAGCCACACCAAAUCAGGGUAGUUUGACAGAAUUCAAUGCCAAGCAGUUUGCAGUGCCCCACCACCUCUAUGACUCAUAACUUAUAGGCUUGUCAUGGUAUGUGCAAAGUGGCAUGGUCAACAUUCAAGCCCUACACAAAACUACUCAUUUUAUGUUAGGAUAGCACAUCUCUAAAGCCACAGUUCAUAAAAGUACAAUGACAGUGACUCUUCAAAUAAAACAUUACCAGAAGGAUGCCUUUAAAGAUGCUAAUGAUGAGAACAUAUCAAUCAAAUGGUUCCAAUCCUUUGGAGAGUGGAUUUCACAUAGCAAAAACCUCAAAAGUCAAAACUACC